UACGAAGGGUGCAAGCGUUACUCGGAAUUACUGGGCGUAAAGCGUGCGUAGGUGGUUUGUUAAGUCUGAUGUGAAAGCCCUGGGCUCAACCUGGGAAUUGCAUUGGAUACUGGCAGGCUAGAGUGCGGUAGAGGGUAGUGGAAUUCCCGGUGUAGCAGUGAAAUGCGUAGAGAUCGGGAGGAACAUCUGUGGCGAAGGCGACUACCUGGACCAGCACUGACACUGAGGCACGAAAGCGUGGGGGAG
rnacentral:rRNA from 1 species